CUGCACCUUCAUCGCCUUCGGACCGGCCAUCGCGCUCUUCCUCUUCACGAUCGCCCGGGAGCCGCUCAGGGUCAUCUUCCUCAUCGCCGGGAGGACCAAGAAAAGAUGGAUCUAGAAAUUGUAAAUCUGCAAUAGAUGCCAAACAUCCGUCAGAUUAAGGAGAGGAAGACGAGGAAGUGGGCCCAGGAGGCCCAACUCAGGCCCUCCAGGAGGUGAAGGCAGGCAGGCUCAAUCAACGGCAGGCAGCCUGAGACACCGAGUCAGUGGGAGGGUCCUCUGGCUGUCUCUGGUCAGUGGGAGGGUCCUCUGGCUGUCUCUGGUCAGUGGGAGGGUCCUCUGGCUGUCUCUGGUCAGUGGGAGGGUCCUCUAGCUGUCUCUGGUCAGUGGGAGGGUCCUCUGACUGUCUCUGGUCAGUGGGAGGGUCCUCUGGCUGUCUCUGGUCAGUGGGAGGGUCCUCUAGCUGUCUCUGGUGGGUGGGAGGGUCCUCUGACUGUCUCUGGUCAGUGGGAGGGUCCUCUGGCUGUCUCUGGUCAGUGGGAGGGUCCUCUGGCUGUCUCUGGUCAGUGGGAGAGUCCUCUGGCUGUCUCUGGUCAGUGGGAGGGUCCUCUAGCUGUCUCUGGUGGGUGGGAGGGUCCUCUGGCUGUCUCUGGUCAGUGGGAGGGUCCUCUGGCUGUCUCUGGUCAGUGGGAGGGUCCUCUGGCUGUCUCUGGUCAGUGGGAGGGUCCUCUGGCUGUCUCUGGUCAGUGGGAGGGUCCUCUGGCUGUCUCUGGUGAAAUCUGAUUAUUAUUUUAGAGCCUUCGACAUCGGCAGCGGGACGUGGCCCUUCAUCUCCCCCUCACCCCACCGACCCAAUCAUCAUCCAGCUCCUCGUCUGCUGGACCCACGACGUCCACCGCUAGUGGACUUCAUGGAGUCAUCAGCAGCGACAGCACGGCGCACUCUGGUCUCCAUCCUCCAGAGACCAGAACGGCGUCUCCAGAGCCCCCAGGAAAUGUGAUUUAAAGUCGUGUCGUCAUAGAGUUGUGUGUUUUGUUGUUCUAAUGUAUUGGUUCAUUGUUGUCGUUGCCUUUUAAAGUAACAUAAUGUAACAAUUGUACCUUAAAAUAACAGCUUGAAAGAAAUUGUGCCGCUACAAUGACUUUUAAUAUGGCGAUUUGCGUCUCCGCCAUCGGGGGUCUGUGGGGAAAUAACUCCGCUAUGUAGGAUUCUGGAGCCGCCCGCUCCGGGGCGGAUGUACUUCGACCUGCUUUCUGGCAGUGAUUACGCAAUGUCAUAAAGUGCCACUCCACGCUCGCAGCUCCAGUAUAAGGGAAGCUUUUUUAUGUAGCUUUUUGGUGUUGUCAACAAUAUUGUAUUCGAUCACACGUACUCCACAUUCAAACAUUUAGAAAACAACGUAUAUAGGGUGAAAACGCGAUCGUAAAUGCUUCGUUGACCAUUUGCUCGACCUUCACCCCGAACAGUAAUGGUCCAAUCGCUGCUUAACGGACCCGACACGGGCACGUCGAGGAAAGCUCGGAUUUCUCCACAUAUUGAAGACGUGUGUGCGCGGCUAGUUAAGUUCACUUUGACGUUUAAAGAGUUCGGAUUCGGAGAGUUUCGACGGUUCUUUUAUAUCCUUUCCAAAAACCAACAACAUUAAAGAGAGAGAGAGAGUGAACGGAAAACGAUCGGACGCUGUGUUUAUGCGCUCUUGAGCUCGUGAGUGUGUCCGGCAAACCGGUCGAGAACACAUCGUGAACACGGCAUUAGUUUGUGGGUUUACGCGCUAUUGAAAAAGAAAAGGCCCCAUUCACCACGUUGUAUUUUCCCACCGGUAUUUUAGUUCACGCUGCAGCAACUCAAGCCAAGAGACAUGAUGCUACCAAACACAUCCUUUUGCUCUCAAUGUAAAAGAGCUCUUUCUCUAGUAGCAUUAAAACACAAGCAGUCAAACCAGAAAGAGAUGACACUUAUUUCACAUUUUCCUUUAUUAUACUAACUAGCUCUACGCUGCAAAAUGAGAAAACAAUCUGUUAAUGCUUGAGGAUUUUUGCCUGGGGCUUGUAUUUUAAUCUUUGAGCAUGAUUGCAUGUGUAUCAAGUGCAUAUUAAAAAGCUAUUGCAAAACUGUAA